rnacentral:lncRNA from 12 species
UACCAACUGAGGUGGAAAACAAGAGUUUUCCUAGAGAACAAUGAGGGAGCCCCUAAAGAUUCUGGCUUGUUCCUCCGAAAAUGGCAGCUUUCCUGAGGCCGAGGACACAGGCAAGAGUCGGGAGUCAAACACGGAGUUUAAGGAAUGAGCCGCAGCCCACAACUUCUCUGGGACACUGCGAUGCAAGGUUCAAAAUGCUGCCUUGUGGAUAUAAGCUCACUAGCCCUGAGCCUUCACAUAAGAGGCCAGGAGUCCCAGAGUGCUGGAGAGAAUUACAAAAGCAAGGAAGCCGCAGCCACUGCCCUUCAGCUUAAAAUACAGGCACAUUAAAGAGACACCACGUGCAAAUCACAAAGAACCUGGCCACUGUCCUCACUGUUUCAAUUCUCCGGCAGACCUGGGGCCCUGAGAUGCCGAUUGCUGAAUCUCACAUUCCUGGAGGAUCUUUGAGUGUCUGCCCUUUGAUGUUUGACAAUAAGAACAGAGUUAUGAAGAUAGAUUACAUAUAUAUGUGAUUGCCAGUACAGGGUCCAGAAGUCAUUUAAUAUUGUCAUUAUCCCUGUCACUGUU